CUACGGGCGGCAGCAGUGGGGAAUAUUGCACAAUGAGCGAAAGCUUGAUGCAGCCAUACCGCGUGUGUGAAGAAGGCCUGAGGGUUGUAAAGCACUUUCAAUUGGGAGGAAGGUUUAGUAGUUAAUACCUGCUGGAUUUGACGUUACCUUUAGAAGAAGCAUCGGCUAACUCUGUGCCAGCAGCCGCGGUAAUACAGAGGGUGCAAGCGUUAUUCGGAAUUACUGGGCGUAAAGCGCGCGUAGGCGGAUUAGUAAGUCAGUUGUGAAAGCCCUGGGCUCAACCUAGGAACUGCAUCUGAUACUGCUAGUCUAGAGUUUAGUAGAGGGAAGGGGAAUUCCAGGUGUAGCAGUGAAAUGCGUAGAUAUCUGGAGGAACAUCAGUGGCGAAGGCGCCUUCCUGGACUAAAACUGACGCUGAGGUGCGAAAGCGUGGGUAGCGAACGGGAUUAGAUACCCCAGUAGUC
rnacentral:rRNA from 1 species